UANAGAAUCCUCAUCACUCUCCCUGCUACUGGCCAAAGUGUAGAAAUCGAUGUCUCCUAUGACACGGGCGAGUCCCUCUCUAAAGAUGGAUACUCUAUUUUGUUCAAGAUACUAUGGAGCGUUUUGGUGUUGACUGUAUCAGCGAUCAUCAUGUUGAAAGUGAUAGAUAGAUCAGGUCCAACAGGAGCUACUAGAACUGCAACAAACGGUGGAGCUGCAGCACCGGGAACACCAGAAAGAAGAAGCGGUGUGGUUACUUACCACGAGGAAUCUCCUAGAACACCAUCACCUUUUAUGGAGUAUGUGAAGAGAACAGUGGAUGAAACUCCUUAUUACAAAAGAGAAGGAAGAAGAAGGUUCAAUCCUCAAAACACUAUGUAAAAUCUAAGAUGAUGAUGAUUUUGUUGCUAGUUGGAAACUUUGUUCAUUAGAGAUUAGAACAUCUUUUUGUUUGUAAACCACCAAACCCGAGGCCAGCAAUGUUUAUAGAAUUUGUAAAUUGAAUUGUCAUCAAAGGAUCCGUAAUUUGUCAGAUAUAGGCAAGUUAUUUAGGUUUUUGAAUUAA